CCGCAACUAUAGCUUGGCUGCGGGCAGGGCCAGCCUCACAGGUUGCUGAGUUCCAGUAGGGUCUGGUCCCAGCAGCUGCUCUUUGCUGGGUGUCAUUCCUGUCACUGUGAGGACACUGGCAAACCAAAGAGAUUGGUCCUUGUCUUUGGGACUCCUAGAGUUGAGGACAGAUAAUGCAUAGGAAGAAUCAGAGACUGUAACGGAUGCGAUCAACUUGAACAGAUGGGAGAUAUUAAGCACCAAGAGGGUGAAUGAGGAGGUUUCUUACUUCCUGGUCACAAAAUGGCUGCCGAAGUCCAUAAGCUAAAUCCUAAUGUGAGUGAACAUGAUCAAGAAGUUCACAAUUUUAAGGAUUCAUGACUACAACCCCAAAAUACGGCACUUCUGCCUGUGUGGAAACAACAGAAGCAGGAAGAUUACUCUCAUUUUUCUCUGGCCUUUUUCCCUUGAAGCAGACUAUAAAGAAGAAUCUGACCUUCCUCUGAAGGAAACCUUCAUUCCAGACAUACCCUCCCUAUAUCCAAAGAACAUCUUUAUCUUUAAAGACACAGAGAUGUCAAGAAGAAUCUGAACAAACAGGCUUUGCCAGAUCCCCCAGUUUACUAAUAUUGAACCAUACUCUUUUGUUCUUCAAUCAUACUUCUGCAUGAUGUCCAUAAAAAUACACAGUUUUCCCCAUUCCUUUUGGGUAUUUAUUCCCGAAAGCUUCUGUGUCAUGUAAAACUUACAUUAAAUAAAUUUGUAUGCUUUUCCUUG
rnacentral:lncRNA from 1 species